GAUCUAGCAGUGGGGAAUAUUGGACAAUGGGGGCAACCCUGAUCCAGCCAUGCCGCGUGUGUGAAGAAGGCCUUAGGGUUGUAAAGCACUUUCAGUGGUGAGGAAGGGUGCGUAGUUAAUACCUGCGUACUUUGACGUUAGCCACAGAAGAAGCACCGGCUAACUCUGUGCCAGCAGCCGCGGUAAUACAGAGGGUGCAAGCGUUAAUCGGAAUUACUGGGCGUAAAGCGCGCGUAGGUGGUUUGUUAAGUCGGAUGUGAAAUCCCCGGGCUCAACCUGGGCAUUGCACCCGAUACUGGCAGGCUAGAGUACGAGAGAGGGAUGUGGAAUUUCCUGUGUAGCGGUGAAAUGCGUAGAUAUAGGAAGGAACACCAGUGGCGAAGGCGGCA
rnacentral:rRNA from 1 species